rnacentral:tRNA from 1 species
GCCCCCGUAGCUCAGCUGGAUAGAGCAGGAGACUUCUAAGCUCAAGGUCGCAUGUUCGAAUCAUGCCGGGGGUACCA